rnacentral:rRNA from 1 species
UACGUAGGGGGCAAGCGUUGUCCGGAAUCAUUGGGCGUAAAGAGCGUGUAGGCGGCUCGAUAAGUCUGCUGUGAAAGUCCAGGGCUCAACCCUGGAAGGCCGGUGGAAACUGUCGGGCUCGAGUCCGGAAGAGGCGAGUGGAAUUCCUGGUGUAGCGGUGAAAUGCGCAGAUAUCAGGAGGAACACCAAUGGCGAAGGCAGCUCGCUGGGACGUGACUGACGCUGAGACGCGAAAGCGUGGGGAGCAAACAGG